ensembl:lncRNA LINC01517 long intergenic non-protein coding RNA 1517
GGUUUGGUGUACAAUUGAUUCCGUCACUCAGACAAUUUGGCCAGGAAGUGACCAGCAAUGGAAAAAGGGAAAUAAUCAGCACAUCUGCAUGUGUGCCCAUCUCAGAGACACAAACUGUGAAUAACAACUCACUUGGCUUCAUAACCAAGACCUACUCUGAGGAAUUGCAUCUCUUCCUUGGAGACCUUGAUUGGCCUGCUAGGUUAAAGGCAUUUCACUAAAUUCUUGGAGGAGUCUGAGAGAACUUGGGGGUGCUUGAGGAACCCAAAGGUGUGAAGUAAAAGCUGGAAACCAAGAUUGCUGGGAAAGUUCAGAGAAAGUAGAGAUUACUUCGUUUGUUGGAGAUCACAUGCAAGUAUAGACAGGAUUUCCACAUGUCGCCCAGGCUGAUCUCAGACUCCUGACCUGGAUCUUCCCACCUCAGCCACUGAACGUGCUGGGAUUACAGCUUAAAUAGGUCUACUUGAAGUUCACAACUGCCAAAACCGCGUGUUCAGACUGAAAGGCUGGGAGCAUUUCAGACGCAUUUAUGAACUUCCACCAAGAUGAUCCGGCAGGCUGAAAUCGCAGGGAGAGCGUCUGUUCAACAAACCCUUUCUUCUUGAUUGAAUUAGUGUUACCCACUAACAGGAUGAGGAAUUCCCACUCCACAAGCUGACUUUUUUUCCUCUUUCCACCUCCCGCCUCCCUCCAUUAAAAUGUAAACU